rnacentral:rRNA from 1 species
AACGAACGCUGGCGGCAUGCCUAACACAUGCAAGUCGAACGAGACCUUCGGGUCUAGUGGCGCACGGGUGCGUAACGCGUGGGAACCUGCCCUUAGGUUCGGAAUAACUCCCCGAAAGGGGUGCUAAUACCGGAUAAUGUCUUCGGACCAAAGAUUUAUCGCCUUUGGAUGGGCCCGCGUUGGAUUAGCUAGUUGGUAGGGUAAAAGCCUACCAAGGCGACGAUCCAUAGCUGGUCUGAGAGGAUGAUCAGCCACACUGGGACUGAGACACGGCCCAGACUCCUACGGGAAGCAGCAGUGGGGAAUAUUGGACAAUGGGCGAAAGCCUGAUCCAGCAAUGCCGCGUGAGUGAUGAAGGCCUUAGGGUUGUAAAGCUCUUUUACCCGGGAUGAUAAUGACAGUAUCGGGAGAAUAAGCUCCGGCUAACUCCGUG